rnacentral:rRNA from 1 species
GACGUAGGAUGCAAGCGUUGUCCGGAUUUAUUGGGCGUAAAGAGUUCGUAGGUGGUUUGUUAAGUCUGAUGUUAAAGACUGGGGCUCAACCUCGGAAAAUGCAUUGGAUACUGGCAGACUUGAGUGUGGUAGAGGCAAGCGGAAUUCCAGGUGUAGCGGUGAAAUGCGUAGAUAUCUGGAAAGAACACCGGUGCGCAAGCGGCUUGACUGGGCCAUAACUGGACACUGACG